rnacentral:rRNA from 1 species
UCUGACAGCCAUGCCAUUUUUAAUGCAAAUAAAUCAAAGCUGAUCUCAGAUGCUCAAGAGGGUUCAGCUUGGUUAGUAUUUGGAAGGGAAACCUCAUGGAAAUACCAAGUGCCAUAU